rnacentral:rRNA from 1 species
GAUGAACGCUGGCGGCGUGCCUAAUACAUGCAAGUCGAGCGAACAGACGAGGAGCUUGCUCCUUCGACGUUAGCGGCGGACGGGUGAGUAACACGUAGGUAACCUACCUAUAAGACUGGGAUAACUUCGGGAAACCGGAGCUAAUACCGGAUAAUACUUCGAACCGCAUGGUUCGAUAGUGAAAGAUGGCUUUGCUAUCACUUAUAGAUGGACCUGCGCCGUAUUAGCUAGUUGGUAAGGUAACGGCUUACCAAGGCAACGAUACGUAGCCGACCUGAGAGGGUGAUCGGCCACACUGGAACUGAGACACGGUCCAGACUCCUACGGGAGGCAGCAGUAGGGAAUCUUCCGCAAUGGGCGAAAGCCUGACGGAGCAACGCCGCGUGAGUGAUGAAGGUCUUCGGAUCGUAAAACUCUGUUAUUAGGGAAGAACAAACGUGUAAGUAACUGUGCACGUCUUGACGGUACCUAAUCAGAAAGCCACGGCUAAGUACGUG